CCACACAUCAUAACCCCGCCCCUAACACGUUAACCGUUACAAAUGGCAGAGCUGCGUUAGCAUCAGCGCUCCUCUCGGUCGACAAUUCGGUCGUCGCCUCAUUUAAAUUUUCAAAGGCAUCAAGAGGAGGUGGAUUAAUUUAGUGAGGAGCCAGACUGAUGGAGAGCUGAGGAACACCAUCACUCAGCGACCACAAGAGUGGACCCACACCAAUCAGAAGACAACAGGUGGCAUCACAUGACGCGGCUCAUCUGUCACCGGAACAAACACUCUCCACCUGCGUCAGAACAAUAAUAUUCCUGCCAGGUGUGUGAUGGACAGCCGAAGUGAGGUGGUGACAGCGGCGUGGCGUCCGAACAGAGAUUGAAGGUUGGAGCGGCCAAGACCCGAUGUUGACAUUUCCAUCAGGGGUCUAUGCAUGGUGACAUCUGAGCUGCCUGGAGACGCCACACUGUCCACCCACAAUAAAACACCUCCAGAAAGUU